rnacentral:rRNA from 1 species
UCAGGAUGAACGCUAGCGGCAGGCUUAAUACAUGCAAGUCGAGGGGUAACAGGGAAGCUUGCUUCCGCUGACGACCGGCGCACGGGUGCGUAACGCGUAUGCAACCUACCUCCAACUGGGGAAUAGCCCCGAGAAAUCGGGAUUAAUACCCCAUAAUAUUCAUCAUUCGCAUGUUUGAUGAAUUAAAGUUUCGACGGUUAGAGAUGGGCAUGCGUGACAUUAGCUCGUUGGUGAGGUAACGGCUCACCAAGGCUGCGAUGUCUAGGGGUUCUGAGAGGAUUAUCCCCCACACUGGUACUGAGACACGGACCAGACUCUACGGGAGGCAGCAGUAAGGAAUAUUGGUCAAUGGACGAAAGUCUGAACCAGCCAUGCCGCGUGCAGGAUGACUGCCCUAUGGGUUGUAAACUGCUUUUAUACAGGAAGAAACCUCUGCACGUGUGCAGGGCUGACGGUACUGUAUGAAUAAGCACCGGCUAACUCCGUGCCAGCAGCCGCGGUAAUACGGAGGGUGCAAGCGUUAUCCGGAUUUAUUGGGUUUAAAGGGUGCGCAGGCGGAAUGAUAAGUCAGUGGUGAAAGCCUACAGCUCAACCGUAGAACUGCCAUUGAUACUGCCAUUCUUGAGUACAGUGGAAGUGGGCGGAAUGUAUCAUGUAGCGGUGAAAUGCAUAGAUAUGAUACAGAACGCCGAUAGCGUAAGCAGCUCACUAUACUGUAACUGACGCUCAGGC